GUAGUCUCGCACAGAUGCAUAUCAAUAAGCGGAGGAAAAGAAACUAACAAGGAUUCCCCUAGUAACGGCGAGUGAAGCGGGAAGAGCUCAAAUUUGAAAUCUUAAAGGGUUUCCCUUUACGAAUUGUAGUUUAAAGAAGUGUUUUCUGUUGAGGUUUUGGUAAAAGUUCUUUGGAAUAGGACAUCAUAGAGGGUGAGAAUCCCGUAUUUGACCUUUACUUUCAACUUUGUGAUACACUCUCAAAGAGUCGGAUUGUUUGGGAAUGCAGUCCAAAAUGGGUGGUAAAUCUCAUCUAAAGCUAAAUAUUGGCGAGAGACCGAUAGCGAACAAGUACCGUGAGGGAAAGAUGAAAAGAACUUUGAAAAGAGAGUUAAACAGUACGUGAAAUUGUCAAAAGGGAAGCGUUUGACACCAGUGUUGUUUUUCUGAAAAUCAAUUAAAGAACUGUUUAUGCUAAGUUGUUUAGACUUUAUCAGCUAUCUGUUUAGUUUUGAGCUUUUCUUUAAUGCACUUUUCAGUUAACAAGUCAACAUCAAUUUCUUUUGCUGUAAAAAAGCUUGAGGAAGGUGGCUUGAGAUUCGUCUUAAGUGUUUAUAGCCUCUUGCCUAUGCAGUCGGAGAGAUUGAGGUCUGCAGCGUAGAUCCUUCGGGGCUAAAUGCAUUUGUGCUAAGUUAUAGCAUUUUAUAGACAACUUGUUGACUAUGAUUUGUCUUGUAGCUUACUCGCUUAUGUUAUUUUACCUACGCUUAGGAUGUUGACGCAUGAGAUAUACGC
rnacentral:rRNA from 1 species